UAUGGUUUAAAAAAUUUAUUUUAAAUUUAUUUUACAUAUAAAUUUUAGUAUAUAAUAAUAAUUAUUUUAAAAAUAAUUAUUAUUUAAAUGUAGUAAUUAAUAUUAAAAAUUUAAUAAAUUAAGAUUUAGUAAUAUUGAAAUUAUUAACAAAUUUUGUGCCAGCAGUUGCGGUUAUACAAAAGUUAAAUUAAAUUUUAUUAGUUAAAUUAAUAAUUAAUUAUUUAUUAAAUUAAAAUUAAAAUUAUUAAGUGAAAUUUUAAUUAUAAAUUAAUUUAUUUAUAAAUAUUUAUGAAUUUAAUAAAUUUUAAUAAUAAACUAGGAUUAGAUACCCUAUUAUUUAAAAUUUAAAUUUAAAAUACUAAAAUAGUAUAUAAUUAUUUAUUGAAACUUAAAUAUUUUGGCGGUAUUUUAGUUUAUUUAGAGGAAUCUGUUUAUUAAUUGAUAAUCCACGAAUAAAUUUACUUAAUUUAUUAUUUUGUAUAUCGUUGUUAAAAAAAUAUUUUUAAAAAAUUUAUAAUAUUUUAAAAUUAUAAUAAAAAUUAAAUCAAAUCAAGAUGCAGAUUAUAAUUAAGAAUAUAAUGGAUUACAAUAAAUUUAUUUAAAUGAAUUUUAAUUUGUAAAAAUUAAAUGAAGGUGGAUUUAAAUGUAAAUUUUUUUAAUUUUUAAAAUUGAUUAAAAAUUAAAAUAUGUACAUAUUGCCCGUCGCUUUCAUAUAUAAAUUGAAAUAAGUCGUAACAAAGUAGAGGUACUGGAAAGUGUUUCUAGAAAGAA
rnacentral:ncRNA from 1 species